GGGGCUGCGCCCGCCGGGACCCCCUGCCCCCGGGCCGGCCCGACCCCGCGCCCCACUCCCGCCGAGCCCCUUCGCUCGCUUCCCCCGCUCGGAACAAAGAUGCGCUCUCCGGGAUGUGAAGAAUGGCGGGUUCCGCGAAGGUGGCGCUUGCCGCGGCUCAGGAUCUAGAUUUUGAAGAUCUAAAUCUUCAUAAGAAGAUCUUGCAAGGGAAGCCGAAAUGUGACCAGAGAGGAAAGGGAGAUUGUGGGAGCUGCGUGUUCAGUAAAGACCUUGCCCUCCUUUGAGGAAAGAACAAAGUAGUCCUAUGCAUCACAAAACAGGAACUGUACCUCCUCACACAUCCCUCAAGCACUGAGAUAAUGUCUGUAGCUGGCACCACGGAGUCUGCACAUGAUCAAGACAUGUUGCAGGCCACUGCGUUCCCUUUGCUGAGUAACUGCCCUAAACCCUUUUAAGAACCCCUGGGCAAGGCAGAAACCUUGCAGUUGGUUUUGGUACAAGACUCUGCCUUCUCCCCAGGUGGCUGGCCUCCUGAAUAAAGCUCAAAUUCCUUUCCAAUGAAA